rnacentral:rRNA from 1 species
UAGAGUUUGAUCCUGGCUCAGAACGAACGCUGGCGGCAGGCCUAAUACAUGCAAGUCGAACGCCGUAGCAAUACGGAGUGGCAGACGGGUGAGUAACGCGUGGGAAUCUUCCUAAUGGUACGGAAUAGCCCGGGGAAACCCGGAGUAAUACCGUAUACUCCCGUGAGGGGAAAGAUUUAUCGCCAUUAGAUGAGCCCGCGUCGGAUUAGCUAGUUGGUGGGGUAAUGGCCUACCAAGGCAACGAUCCGUAGCUGGUCUGAGAGGAUGAUCAGCCACACUGGGACUGAGACACGGCCCAGACUCCUACGGGAGGCAGCAGUAGGGAAUAUUGGACAAUGGGCGAAAGCCUGAUCCAGCCAUGCCGCGUGAGUGAUGAAGGCCUUCGGGUUGUAAAGCUCUUUUGGCGGGGACGAUAAUGACGGUACCCGCAGAAUAAGCCCCGGCUAACUUCGUGCCAGCAGCCGCGGUAAUACGAAGGGGGCUAGCGUUGUUCGGAAUCACUGGGCGUAAAGCGCACGUAGGCGGACUUUCAAGUCAGGGGUGAAAUCCCGGGGCUCAACCUCGGAAUUGCCUUUGAUACUGUAGGUCUCGAGUCCGGAAGAGGUGGGUGGAAUUCCUAGUGUAGAGGUGAAAUUCGUAGAUAUUAGGAAGAACACCGGUGGCGAAGGCGGCCCACUGGUCCGGUACUGACGCUGAGGUGCGAAAGCAUGGGGAGCAAACAGGAUUAGAUACCCUGGUAGUCCACGCCGUAACGAUGAUGACUAGCUGUCGGGGGCCAUGGGCUUUCGGUGGCGCAGCUAACGCAUUAAGUCAUCCGCCUGGGGAGUACGGCCGCAAGGUUAAAACUCAAAGAAAUUGACGGGGGCCUGCACAAGCGGUGGAGCAUGUGGUU